GCUGUGUAAGGCAGCCCCUGCGAAAAGACUCAAAGCACAAACUAGCUUAUUCCCUUUCUUCCGUUGAAAUCUUGGCUGCUGCACUGUAGAAUUUAGCAGUGGCCGUAAGGCCAGCGAAACAACAAAAGCCACAGAGCAAGUCUGUUGUCAGUCGUUAAGUUCAAGACAGAUAAAUUUUGUUCUGGCAUACAGAUAAUUAACCAAAAUAAGCUAAGACUAUUGUCGACACGCCAAGCUGCUUAGGCCUGAGCUAUUUGCCUAAUUGACGACGUCUUUAGUAAUCUGAGAACA